GCACUCCCGGCCUUAGUCGGGUGCGCGCGUGCAGGGCUGUUUCCGGCUUAGACUCAGUGGACCGGAAUCUGGCCAGCGGGUGUACCUGGCUGAGUCUCUGUGGCCGCGGAGGCGCGGAGCUAAGCGGCUCGGAUUAUCGUGGGCAGACCAGAGACUUGACCAGCUAAACACUUCCGUCGGUCCGGGGCGUGGACGGGGCCAGAUCAGCCUCCUGCUCUCCCGAGUCAGGGCCACGGAAAGGCACAAAUCCAUCCGUGCGACUCCUGGUACCCAGACCGGGAGGUUGUCUAGUCACGCGCGGUCCGUGUUGGGCGAGAGCUGAGGAGCCGGCGUCCCUGCCAACGACUCAGCCCCGGGACGGUCAGGAGCCUGGGGCCCUGGUCCCGCACCUGUCUUCGGGCGGACGCAUCCCUCACGGUCUCUCCGCGGCCCGCGGGUCCUGCCCCCGCAGGCAGCGCGCGAACGUGGGCGUGGGGAUGGCCACCAGUUUCCGGACAGCUUCGUGCUGGCCUGUAACUCACAUGGGAGGUCUAAACUGGAAAUAUAUAAAGACACCUUAUUGUAUUCGUGGAAGCUCAGAGUGUGACCAACUGGAACCCUCAAGAGGACCGAGAUUUGCCAGUUUUUCAGUUGGGCAUAUACAGAAACUCCAUUUCUGAAUUUCCCUGCUGUUCCCUCCCAGCCCCCACUCUUUGCUGUUGCUUAGAAUGCAGAUGUGAUGACUAGAGCCAUC
rnacentral:sRNA from 1 species